CGGGUGAUGAUUAGAUUUCACACAAGCUAUUAUAUGAAAGUAAAAAAUUAGGAGGGAUCAAAACUAUAUGGAAAGAAAUUAUGUGAAAAGAUCCAAGAAGAAUUAGAUAUAUCAAGAGAUACAGCAGCAUAUAACAGAAAAGAGUGGAAGAUGAUAAUAUCACUUCGAUUGACCUCAUAUGACUUGGAAAAAGGCUAGGAUACAGAAGGGAGGAUUUAUGUCAAUGCUUAAGUUGUGUCAUCUGUUCAUGUCAAUGCUCAAGUUGCAAAUCACGAAAUUGCUGGCAGUCAUCAGUUCAAAACGCUGUAUAUGGUAGGAGAUAAUCCCUUAGUUGACAUCAAGGGUGCACGACAGGCUGGCCAUCCCUGGUUUUCCAUUCUGACAAGGACUGGAGUUUUCAAGGGAAAGGAAAAUCAUGACGAGUUUCCAGCUGAUCUGGUUGUUGAUACUGUCGAAGAAGCUGUGGACUAUGUUUUGAAAAAGGAGUCGAUCUCUUAGAUUCUACACUUAUAUUUCUCCCCCUAGGUUUUGAUAUUUUUUGGCAGAUUUUUCUUUCGUUACAAUAAUAUCUCAUGAGAACAUCCAAACACUAGAAUUCUUUUGCUGCAAUUUUUUUUAAAAUUGUGGAAGUUAGGUUCUUGAUUUGGGAUCAAUUCAUGGUCUCACUCAUGUUCAUAUAUAUUAUUGGAACCAAAUUGUAUUC